GACGAACGCUGGCGGCGUGCUUAACACAUGCAAGUCGAACGGUAAGGCCCUUCGGGGUACACGAGUGGCGAACGGGUGAGUAACACGUGGGCGAUCUGCCCUGCACUUCGGGAUAAGCCUGGGAAACUGGGUCUAAUACCGGAUAGGACCACUGCCUGCAUGGGUGGUGGUGGAAAGCUUUUGCGGUGUGGGAUGGGCCCGCGGCCUAUCAGCUUGUUGGUGGGGUGAUGGCCUACCAAGGCGACGACGGGGAGCCGGCCUGAGAGGGGGACCGGCCACACUGGGACUGAGAUACGGCCCAGACUCCUACGGGAGGCAGCAGUGGGGAAUAUUGCACAAUGGGCGCAAGCCUGAUGCAGCGACGCCGCGUGAGGGAUGACGGCCUUCGGGUUGUAAACCUCUUUCAGCACCGACGAAGCGCAAGUGACGGUAGGUGCAGAAGAAGGACCGGCCAACUACGUGCCAGCCGCCGCCGUAAGAC
rnacentral:rRNA from 1 species